AUUGAACGCUGGCGGCAUGCCUUACACAUGCAAGUCGAACGGUAACAGGUUAAGCUGACGAGUGGCGAACGGGUGAGUAAUACAUCGGAACGUGCCCGGACGUGGGGGAUAGCUCGGCGAAGGCCGGAUUAAUACCGCAUAAGCUCUGAGGAGGAAAGCGGGGGACCGUAAGGCCUCGCGCGUUUGGAGCGGCCGAUGGCAGAUUAGGUAGUUGGUGGGGUAAAGGCUUACCAAGCCUACGAUCUGUAGCUGGUCUGAGAGGACGACCAGCCACACUGGGACUGAGACACGGCCCAGACUCCUACGGGAGGCAGCAGUGGGGAAUUUUGGACAAUGGGCGCAAGCCUGAUCCAGCAAUGCCGCGUGCAGGAUGAAGGCCUUCGGGUUGUAAACUGCUUUUGUACGGAACGAAAAGGCGCCUACUAAUACUGGGUGUUGAUGACGGUACCGUAAGAAUAAGCACCGGCUAACUACGUGCCAGCCGCCGCCGUAA
rnacentral:rRNA from 1 species